ACUGUUUUCCAGAGUGGCUGCACCAAUUUGCAUUCCCACCAACAGCCAAAGCAGUGUUUUUAAUUCUCUCCACCUUUACUUUGUUCGUUGUCUUGGGCAUCCAUGGUAGCCGAUAUCAUCCAUCUGGGGCUGCGGCUCUGUUUUAAUCUCGGCGUUAGCCCUCGGUGGCAUCUUGAGUUAGAGUCUUGUAUGAGACUGCCCUCCUGACUGGGAAAAUGAAGGAAAUGAUUCUAUUCACCUCACAGGUGGCCGGGGAUGUUGGCAACGUUGAAGGAGAUGGCUUGUCCGAAAUGCAGCUGAAGGGCUUGACAAAUGGAAAUUAUCGCUACUGUUCUGCAUGUUAGAUUCCCAGAUUUUCCUUAAUAGAGACAACAGAGCCUUCAUGGUGAGAUGCGGGAGACAGCUGAAGUGGGCAGUGACAGGCCUCUGCCUCCUAAUCGGUCCCCGAUUCUGACCCCAAAUGGGAAAAUCUGAGGUUCGAGGUCCGGUACGCAAGCAGUUCAAGCCUCGUAUCACGCCAUUGGAAGAGCGAAAAGGCGUGUCUAGUGUCUCCUUAAUUUCUGGAUAAUGCUUAGCCCACAUUUUAACUAUGGAUAGACAAGGCAUUAGGAAACACUGACAGUUGUACCCAGAUUUUAAAAAUGUGGGUUCCAAAUGCUUCAAAUGAUCGCAAAGUCGUGACAUUUAGCCAUGGUGUUCAUAUCAGGUGCACAGUCACUGAAGUUAAAGUGGCAACGUUCACACCUCACUAGGUCCUAGGCACGAAGUUUUAUACAAGCCUUUUUUCUCACUGUGUCUCACUAUGAACUUGCUGUUGUAAGUGGAUAGGCAACAUCUUUGGCCACAAAAAGACUUAUGUGAAAAUAUAAAUCUAAAGGAGUGUCUGCUGUGAAUCUCUUCUCUCUUCUCAGACAAACAGAGGCCCGAUGGGGCCAUGAACUCUGGCUGGGAUGUGAUUUUAUGGAAGCAGGAGUUGGUGAUCAUUUAUCAAAAGGAGCGAUCUGAAACGUUGCAUCUCAAUGGAGUGAUAGAAAACAGUGUGGCAGAAAUCCACUUCUCUUAUCAGGGCCCCGAAAGAUGCUUCCAAGAAUUCAUGAGCAUUUAUAUCAGCAUUCUUCUACAAUCACAGGUGUCUAUUGUGCCCUAGGGAGGAAGGGGAGAAGACAGGAGCUCGGAGGUUCAUCAAUUGGGAAAGCGAACUGAAUGCAGAAUUCUUCCCAUAGCAAGUCAUGUUAUCCACGCAAGCAGCCCUAUGGACAAGGGCGAGGCCCUACAGUGGUUACAACGGCGGACAGCACAGUGGGUCCAGACACACCACAGAUCAUUGCCAGCCCUGCGCGGGCAGCUACUUGGCCAUGUUCCUGGCCCUGAACCACACCGAUGAGCUGACCUUCGCAUGUUAGCUAUUGUUUUCCAGAGAAAACUGGGCCUAUGCAUGUUGUACAGACAACACGGAUUUAUGUCUGGUUUUGGAAAAAAUAAGUUCUAGCAUGCACUCUACUGAAAAUAGGCCGGUUGCUGGAGCUUCACGUCUUUUCACUGUUGUUCUGUGAAAAACCAGAGCAAAUGAUAAGUUCUCAACUCUUUUGCUAUGGGCCAAAAAUGGAAGAUGUCUAUAAAAGCGCCUCCCCGAUAUAAGGAAGUGACGCUGGUUCUAGGAAGAAGAGAAGACGGGCUUCCUAGAGGUUUCAGAUGUGCUAACUGCCACGUGCACGCAGGAGACCUUAACCUCUGUAGUUUUCAGAUGGAGGCAGCGACUAUCCACGAUGCCUCUUGGAUUGCUCAUUCUGGGGGAAGCCAGCUGCCAUACUAAGAGACAGCACGCAGAGAGGCUCCUAUGAGACCAUGGGAGAAAAUCCUGGGGAUGACUGUAGCUGAGCUGACACUUUGGUUGCAGGAUCGUGACAGACCCAGCCUAGCUGCUCCCAGACUCCUGACCCACAGAACUGGUGAGAUAAUAAAUACUCUUGUUUCCAG